CUUUGCCAUGGUUUCAUGUAGCGAGAUCGCCUUCACAAGAUGCCAGCAUCUUAAUAUUGGACUCCCUAACCUCUAAACCAGAAGCCAAAUUCUUUUGGAGCAACAGAAAACAAACUAAGACAACAAGGUAACUUGCUUGAAUUCAGCUCAGCAACCUCUUUGGACCUUUCUCAAAUACAAGAGCCGGUGCAGGCCUGUGGAGUACCCCUCCCUCCAGGUCUUAUUAAAAAAACUCAGGAAACUCUCAGCUCUAAUGAGUGUUUCUGCAGCACAAAUUUCAAACUGAAGGAAUUAUCUGAGUCCUGUGCAUCAUUCUUCAAUGAAAGAAACAUCCGGCACUUUCCCUGCAGAAGAAUGAACAUAAGAGAAUUUUUUUGAUAAUUCAAGAGACAAACUGGAGUGAAGGCUCCACCCGAGAAUGAAUGUUUAAUGGCAUGUCUCUGGAAUGAAGAUAGAAGAGAAUAAGCAGCAG
rnacentral:lncRNA from 1 species